UACGAAGGGGGCUAGCGUUGCUCGGAAUCACUGGGCGUAAAGCGCACGUAGGCGGAUUGUUAAGUCAGGGGUGAAAUCCUGGAGCUCAACUCCAGAACUGCCUUUGAUACUGGCGAUCUUGAGUCCGGGAGAGGUGAGUGGAACUGCGAGUGUAGAGGUGAAAUUCGUAGAUAUUCGCAAGAACACCAGUGGCGAAGGCGGCUCACUGGCCCGGUACUGACGCUGAGGUGCGGAAAGCGUGGGGAGCAAACAGG
rnacentral:rRNA from 1 species